GGGCCCGCGCGACCCCGCUCCCCGACGCCCGACGCGAUCCCCGCAGGCCGCCCCGGCCGCGCGCUGCGCCCGGGGUCCCGCCCGUGCCCGCGGCCCUCCAUCUUGGAGGCGACCUGGGCUCCAUCUUGCAGGCGACGGGAUGGAGGCACGCUGGGCUCCCGGGAGGGGAACCGUGUCCCCUCCCACCCGUCUGUAAUGUUUUUUUUUUCUUUCUUUUUAAGACGGGUCUUUAGUCCUGGGUGGGUUGGUGGUCAUGGCAGUCCUCCCGCCUUCGCCUUCCAGGUAUUGUCCCAGGCAUGAGCCACCUCGCCCAGCCUCCAUUAGACUUGUGGGCGGUGUGUGCGUGCUUGAGACCGGGGCCUGCCGUGUCGUUGAGGCUGGCUUGAAUCACUAGCCCAGGCUAGCCUCGAUCUCGUGGCUCAGCCGCCGUCCUUCAGCUCCUCGAGGGCUGUGCUAACAGGCACAAACCAUCCGUUCCUCCUUCAUUGUUGGAAGAGAUUGUUCCCGUGUGUUUGCGGCAGUUUGGAGGCUGGCUUCGAACUCGUGGUGCCUCCCAUUGCUGGCUUUACAGACGGGCGCCACCACAUGGCUAACCCAAUCCUUACCCCGAAAUGGUUGCCUGUGGUGUGUGCAAUCGUUCGCUAGAGCCUCCAUCCGCAGACUCUGCGGGAUCAUCCUUGCAUUCUUAAACCCUCUUGGCGGCUUCGCUCCGGUGCUUCCAAGAUAUGAGUGAAUGCUAGAGAAAGUGCGGGGGAGUCCAAAGGGCUGCGCUCCUCACGUGGUUCAGCCUUAUUUCAUACCUGCGACAUCUUUUAGGAAGUUUGCCGGAUGGCGAUAGCUAAGCGGGUUAAUUCCUUUGGAAAUCUUAAGAAAAUAGUUUCGGGUUGAAGAAAUCGUAAAUUGUCGUUUCGGGGAAAUUUGGGUUGUUUGGGGUUUUUUGUUUUGAGCCUGGUUUUCCAUCUGUAGACUAGUGUGGCCUCAGAGUCAAGAGAUCAACCUGCCUCGGACUCAAGUGCUGGCAUUAAAGGCUUGGGGCACAGAGCCCUACUAGCCUUGUUUUCAGAAAAACCUUUCCGGCAUUUCCUUUUGGCCCUUCUGGCGAUUGAAUACACGGCCUUUUUCAGACUCGGUUUUCCACCACUGCCUCUAUCACGUUCUGUUCUAUCUGCUUUGUGUUGUUGGUGGGUGUUUUUUUUUUUUUUUUUUUUUUUUUUGGUUUUUCGAGACAGGGUUUCGCUGUAGCUUUGGAGCCUGUCCUGGAACUCCCUUUAUAGACCAGGCUGGCCUCGAACUCACAGAGAUCCGCCUGCCUCUGCCUCCCGAGUGCUGGGAUUAAAGGCGUGCGCCACCACCGCCCGGCUUUUUGUUUUUCUGUUUUUUUCCUCCUAACUUUAGUCAGGACCUACCUAAGUGAAUUAGUAACUGUAGCUGUGGCACAAAAGGCAGGAACGAAUCCACACUUUUGGAUCUCUAGUACCGCUGCUGACAACGCUAUUAAUGAAUGCCAGAGUUUCUUUAAAUUUUUGCAAAUAAAUAGCGAGUAGUUCCAGUCUCUUUAAAGCCGUCUGCAGUCGAGUGAGUCUUAGGAAUCUGAAUAGUUGGUUUUGACUCAUUUGCAUUUGCAGUAAAAGACUAGUUUCUCCCUUCGUUUUCUUUUUGAUAUUUAAUGAAAAGGAGCUUAAAUUGAGUGUUUGAAAUUGGAUUAGGUGUCUUAACUCAGACUUCUGUUUCUGUAAGCAGAUGAUCCUCACUCCUCGCCCCAGAGGCUCCAUCGGGCUUCUAAAUGGCGUGAAAGACGCUCCAUUGAGGAAUGUGUUAGAGAGGCUACUUAGUUAGAUGUUCAGAUAAUGUCUUGGAUUUGGGGUGUGUCUGAAUUUAUAUUUUGCACCUCUGCCACCCAGCACCCAGUGGAUAUAGUUACCGCAAGUUUACAAGUGUCGUUUGAGAUUAAUAUCAGCAAGUAAAAAGCAAGGCCUGAUUCUGCUGAUUGGAUGUGUACCUUGUUCCUGAUGUGUUUUUCCCUGUGUCACAGAGACACUUGUAUGAAACCACGCCCACGCACUUGUUAGUAUUUUUGUCUGAAAGGUGUGUUGUCUGUAUAGUGUCUGAGGGCAGGAGGUCUUGAACGGCUGCUUUCACAUCGUAGGAAUUGACCAACAGGUCCUGUAGUCAUGUGUUGUCCUGGAUUCAUGGAGUACUUUAAGG